rnacentral:lncRNA from 1 species
ACUUUCUAGCUCCAGACUUCCCGGUGUAGCCAGGGCAGUGGCCCAGGCUCGGGGGCCGAGUGCUAGGGGGAGGGAUUACAACGAGUGGCAACGUCUCACCUGAGUUCUCCAGGUACAGGCCUGAUGGCUUUUGCGCAUGCCUUUGAGCGAGCCCCCUGGCUCAAAGUGUUUUUGGCCUGAAGUAUUCUAAAUGCCUAAAAUUUCAUCAUCGUAAUUUUAAUAACUGUUGGCCGGGCGUGGUGGCCCACGCCUGUAAUCCUAGUACUUUGGGAGGCCAAAGGAGAGUCACUUGAGCUCAGGAGUUUGAGACUAGCGUCUC